rnacentral:rRNA from 1 species
AGUGAACGCUGGCGGUAGGCCUAACACAUGCAAGUCGAACGGCAGCACAGUAAGAGCUUGCUCUUACGGGUGGCGAGUGGCGGACGGGUGAGGAAUACAUCGGAAUCUACUUUUUCGUGGGGGAUAACGUAGGGAAACUUACGCUAAUACCUCAUACGACCUACGGGUGAAAGCAGGGGAUCUUCGGGCCUUGCUCGAUUGAAUGAGCCGAUGUCGGAUUAGCUAGUUGGCGGGGUAAAGGCCCACCAAGGCGACGAUCCGUAGCUGGUCUGAGAGGAUGAUCAGCCACACUGGACCUGAGACACGGUCCAGACUCCUACGGGAGGCAGCAGUGGGGAAUAUUGGACAAUGGGCGCAAGCCUAAUCCAGCCAUACCGCGUGGGUGAAGAAGGCCUUCGGGUUGUAAAGCCCUUUUGUUGGGAAAGAAAAGCAGCAGGUUAAUACCCCGCUGUUCUGACGGUACCCAAAGAAUAAGCACCGGCUAACUUCGUG